rnacentral:rRNA from 1 species
GAUUUCUGAUCUUAUUCACAGUCUAGCCCGCCACGGUUACGUGUGUGAGUGCUCGGACUGAAAGAUCAUCUGCUGUAUGGGCAUGGUGAUGUGGUUAUACUUUACUGUAUGAUUGCACCACUAUGUAUUCCAAACUAUACAGCCAUUUACUUUGAACAAAUUAGAGUGUUUCAAGCAAGCAGUAUUGCUCUGAAUACAUUAGCAUGGAAUAAUCCGAUAGGACUUUGGUCUUAUUUUGUUGGUUUUAUUAUGAGGACUAAAGUAAUGAUUGAUAGGGAUAGUUGGGGGUGCUAGUAUUCAGGGGCCAGAGGUGAAAUUCUUGGAUUCCCUGAAGACUCCCUUAUGCGAAAGCAUU